rnacentral:rRNA from 1 species
UACGAAGGGGGGCUAGCGUUGCUCGGAAUGACUGGGCGUAAAGGGCGCGUAGGCGGCUCAUACAGUCAGGCGUGAAAUUCCUGGGCUCAACCUGGGGACUGCGCUUGAGACGUGUGGGCUUGAGUGGGGAAGAGGGUCGUGGAAUUCCCAGUGUAGAGGUGAAAUUCGUAGAUAUUGGGAAGAACACCGGUGGCGAAGGCGGCGACCUGGUCCUUGACUGACGCUGGAGGCGCGAAAGCGUGGGGGAGCAAACAGG